UACGUAGGGGGCAAGCGUUGUCCGGAUUUAUUGGGCGUAAAGAGCUCGUAGGUGGUUCGGUAAGUCGGAUGUGAAAUCUCCAGGCUCAACCUGGAGGGGUCAUUCGAUACUGCCGUGACUAGAGGUCGGUAGGGGAGUGUGGAAUUCCUGGUGGAGCGGUGGAAUGCGCAGAUAUCAGGAAGAACACCAACGGCGAAGGCAGCUCGCUAGGACGGAACUGACGCUGAGGCGCGAAAGCGUGGGGAGCAAACAGG
rnacentral:rRNA from 1 species